CUGGAAAUGCCAUUAUUUGAAGCACACAGUCAAAUUUAACAUUUCACUAAUAGAGCUAAACUUUAUUUCCAUGUUUAUUACAUGUUCAUCUUUGAAGUUGAAUACAUGGUAGAAUUGAUUUAACAUACAACUUGGGAGAAAAGCUGAUAUUCUCCACUGAAUGGGUUAAAAAGGAAUGUAAAGCUAUAAAAUACUUGCUUAAGUGUUUAAGUGAAUUCUAAUUAUGGCAAACAUAACAAUAAAUACCUUGCUAUUUUUCUCUUUCUAGUUUUCUGAGAUGGAUUUCACUAUAAAAUGUUUUCCAUAACAAUUUAUUUCAAGAAAGGAAAUAAGGGAUAAUCCUUAAAACCAUUUUACUUUAAGUGUAGAGUACAAAUAAAGAGUCAACACAGAACUCCUAUCUCCUAUUUAAAAUACAAAUACUUCAUGAUAAUUAGGAAUCGAGGGAGAUUAAUCUGAUGUCAACUGCAGAUCUAAUGACUUAAGCAAACCCAUACAUGCCAUUUGCUUUUGUCUGGAGGAGUUAGGCUGACUUAAGGUGACACACGGCAGAGUUCUACUUGAUACCUAUGUUAACCAUUCCCUAUGAGAAUGGAAUGGCCAGAUACUAGGUGCUUAGCGAUGGGAACUCAGGACUAAUCAGCUCCAAGUGACUAAGAGCUAAGAGAAGUCAUCACUCCACCUCCUCAAUCUACAGCCAGAUACAAAUUUUAGCAUUCACUGAGUUUUAAAAUAAAACACCAGAUAUUCUGAAACUGCUGAAAUUCACAGUACAGAAAGAAUAUUGUCUGUAGUAUAAUUCCAAUGUUUAAACAAAAUCAAAAUUAUAGCUGGUUAUCAAAGUUGUCACUGGUAAUAAAUAUAGUUUUAAUUCUCUAUAAGCCCUGUAAGCACAUUUGGUGAAGGUGUGUUCUUAAUGCCACUAAUCUAUGCUUAGACACAUUUAAAAAAAAAAAUCAUCUUAAAAUUAUUUUUCACCAGGGAUUACAUGACGAAAACUCUUAAUAAAAGUGAAUAUUGCUUACUGUUCUCAUUAAACAAGUGUUUAGAAUGAUUUGCAAAAACCUAUUAUUUUUAAUGAUGCUUAUAAAAGAUGUUAAAGAUAACUCACCUCUAAUUAAUUAUUCUACUGAUAAAAUACUUUUUCAUGUAACUGUUUAGGACAGAUAAAUUAUGGCUUUUCACUUUUUAAAAUUUCACAUUUACUAUCAUGUUGUUAAAGCUUUUCUAAAUCAGUCUUCCAGUAUCAGAUUCUUAAAUGAGAAAAGAAAGGACGAAAGAGACAAAUUCCGCAUCAACUUAGCCUCCUCCCUUCCCUGGAAAUCAACAUUUCUCUUAAAAUUCAAGGCACGCUCCUUUUCUUAGAACAGAGGUCGACAAACUUGUUCUGUAAAGGGACCACAGAAUAAACAUUUCAGGCUCUGUGGACCACAGGGUCACUACCACAAUUACUCAAUUUCUGCUGUUGUCAUGAAAAAGCAGCCACAGAAAAUAUGUAUUUACAAAAAAAAAAACAACAGUCUGAAUUUGGCCUGUGGGCCAUAGCUGACCAACCCCUGCUUAGGAGAACUGACCUAAAUAUAAAAGAAUCAUCUUAAAAAAAACCAAACUGAUCUACUCAAGUGCGCUGACUGACUCCGACUCCAGCAGCUCAUCACUCUAGAACAUCUGAACAUUAAAACCCUUUGGAGCUAGCCAACUUUCUGUUUUUGGUUAAGAUUCUUCUAUUCAACUUCAAGUCAUUAUGCUUUCCCACUGGGGAUAAUCGAUUCUUCGUUUAAGAACUUGCUUGGGUGUUAUUUAUUGAGGGAUUCAGUUCAAAAUUAAUAAAUGAUGUCCAUACGAUUUAAUAUCCAAUUUAAUUUUUAAAAAACUUAAUGAAAAAUAUAACAGAAUCAAAACAUUUAAAAUAAGUACACUACCUAUUCCAGUAAUUCAUUUAAGUCAUAUAACUAUAGAAUAUGAAAAAUAAAUUCAGAGGUGUGAUUACUUUAAAAUACACUGCUUCCACUUUUGUCAAUAUUUUACAUUUAUGUAUAUAUUCUACAGUGGAAGCAGAAAUUCUCUCUAAAAACAUUAUCUCCUUAAAAUCUUGAGGUGCAGCUUAGAGCCACAGGCAAUAUCUGACAUAUAAAACUGCAGUACAAGCCUUUCCAAUUUGGCAUUUCACGGGCACAAUGCAAUGACGCACGUGUAUAAGCACUGUGCCGUGCCUGGACAUUCCAGUGAGAACCAUGAUUUUCUUUAAUGUAGAAUGAUUAAUACAUAUUCUACAAGGGGCAGUGAGGUUAGUAAUUGUAUAAGGUAUGUCCGACAUAAUUUUCAGAUUGUACAAUAACACAAACAACUUUGUUAAGGCCAUGUUUUAUUUGCUGAUUAAUGGACAAAAGGCAAUGUAAUUUAUUUUCAAGUAUUUUCUUGAAAGUCUGUGCUCAUAAAAAUCAUGAAAAGUUGGAAAGACUGUUAAAUCACUGAAACUUUAAAUAUAUCUUACACAAUCUUGUUUGUACAAAAAUACAAGUUAAAUAUAAACAUAAAGCAAUCAUGAUAAUUUUAUGCAAAUCUGUUUUAUGUGAUCUUCAGUUAUAUAUAAAAGUUUCUCGGUUCUGUUAUUUGUGAAAAGAUCAAUACCAGAUUGAAUUACUAUCUAUUGGCAAAGGGCCCUAAAAAGCUUCCUUUAGCAUUAAUCCUUUAGACGGUUAAGUGCAUUUCCUAAUUUGAGAUCACCUAAACACUGGAAAAAAAGAAAAAAGUGAAAGGG